AGAGAGAGACAUGCGCGCAUAUCAAUAAGCGGAGGAAAAGAAAUUAACUAGGAUUCCCUCAGUAACGGCGAGUGAAGCGGGAAGAGCUCAAAUUUGAAAUCUUCAAGGUUUUACCUUGACGAAUUGUAGUUUAAAGAAGUGUUUUCUGUUGGAGUUUUGGUAAAAGUUCUUUGGAAUAGGACAUCAUAGAGGGUGAGAAUCCCGUAUUUGACCAUUAUUUCCAACUUUGUGAUACACUUUCAAAGAGUCGGAUUGUUUGGGAAUGCAGUCCGAAAUGGGUGGUAAAUUUCAUCUAAAGCUAAAUACUGGCGAGAGACCGAUAGCGAACAAGUACCGUGAGGGAAAGAUGAAAAGAACUUUGAAAAGAGAGUUAAACAGUACGUGAAAUUGUCAAAAGGGAAGCGUUUGACACCAGUGUUGUUUUCUCGAAAAUCAAUUAAAAAGGAUUGGAUUUUGUGUUGUAUUGACUUUAUCAGCUUUCUGCACUCUUUUCUUGUCUUUUUUAAUGCACUUUUCGUUUAACAAGUCAACAUCAAUUUCUUUUGUUGUAAAAGGGUCAUUGGAAGGUGGCUUUCUUUUCGGAGAAAGUGUUUAUAGCCUUUGGCCUCUGCAAUCGGAGAGAUUGAGGUCUGCAGCGUAGAUCCUUCGGGGUUAGAUAGCAUUUGUGCUAAGUUAUAGCCUUUCAUAGACAACUUGUUGACUAUGAUCAGUCAUGUAGCUUACUCGCUUAUGCUAUUUUACCUACGCUUAGGAUGUUGACAGCAGUAUAGACUGU
rnacentral:rRNA from 1 species